rnacentral:rRNA from 1 species
GAAAUGCGAUAAGUAAUGUGAAUUGCAGAAUUCAGUGAAUCAUCGAAUCUUUGAACGCACCUUGCGCUCCUUGGCAUUCCGAGGAGCAUGCCUGUUUGAGUGUCAUUAACAUCUCAAGACCUGUCUGCUUUUGAUGGGUGUUGGAAAUUGGGGGUUGCAGGAGCUGUAUCAGACAUAGAUAUGGCAUUGCUCUCCUUGAAUGUAUUAGUGGAGAAAAAGAAAGCUCAUUGAACUCCAUUGGUGUGAUAAAAUCUAUCAAUGCCAGGAACAAUGUCCAAGUCCAAGUUUCUCUGCUGUCUAACCCCAUGUCCAUUUGGACCAUUUGGACCAUUUGACCAACUUGACCUCAAAUCAGGUAGGACUACCCGCUGAACUUAA